UCGAGCGGAACGAGUUAUCUGAACCUUCGGGGGACGAUAACGGCGUCGAGCGGCGGACGGGUGAGUAAUGCCUAGGAAAUUGCCCUGAUGUGGGGGAUAACCAUUGGAAACGAUGGCUAAUACCGCAUAAUACCUACGGGUCAAAGAGGGGGACCUUCGGGCCUCUCGCGUCAGGAUAUGCCUAGGUGGGAUUAGCUAGUUGGUGAGGUAAUGGCUCACCAAGGCGACGAUCCCUAGCUGGUCUGAGAGGAUGAUCAGCCACACUGGAACUGAGACACGGUCCAGACUCCUACGGGAGGCAGCAGUGGGGAAUAUUGCACAAUGGGCGCAAGCCUGAUGCAGCCAUGCCGCGUGUGUGAAGAAGGCCUUCGGGUUGUAAAGCACUUUCAGUCGUGAGGAAGGUAGUGUAGUUAAUAGCUGCAUUAUUUGACGUUAGCGACAGAAGAAGCACCGGCUAACUCCGUGCCAGCAGCCGCGGUAAUACGGAGGGUGCGAGCGUUAAUCGGAAUUACUGGGCGUAAAGCGCAUGCAGGUGGUUUGUUAAGUCAGAUGUGAAAGCCCGGGGCUCAACCUCGGAAUAGCAUUUGAAACUGGCAGACUAGAGUACUGUAGAGGGGGGUAGAAUUUCAGGUGUAGCGGUGAAAUGCGUAGAGAUCUGAAGG
rnacentral:rRNA from 1 species